rnacentral:rRNA from 1 species
AUGAACGUUGGCGGCGUGGAUUAGGCAUGCAAGUCGAGCGAGAACCCGCAAGGGGGACAGCGGCGAACGGGGUAGUAAUGCGUAGGUGACGUGCCCUGGGGACCGGAAUAGCCACGGGAAACUGUGGGUAAUGCCGGAUGAUCUCUUCGGAUUCGAAUAUCUGAGGAGCAAUGGGUGAGAUUCCGCCCUUGGAGCGGCUUACGUGGUAUUAGCUAGUUGGUGAGGUAAUGGCUCACCAAGGCGACGAUGCCUAGGGGGUGUGAGAGCAUGGCCCCCACCACUGGGACUGAGGUACUGCCCAGACACCUACGGGUGGCUGCAGUCGAGAAUCUUCGGCAAUGGACGCAAGUCUGACCGAGCGACGCCGCGUGCGGGAUGAAGGCCUUCGGGUUGUAAACCGCUGUCAGAGGGGAUGAAACGCAUAGGGGUUCUCUCCUAUGCUUGACAGAGCCUCAGAGGAAGCACGGGCUAAGUACGU